rnacentral:rRNA from 1 species
AGAUUGAACGCUGGCGGCAUGCCUUACACAUGCAAGUCGAACGGCAGCACGGAGCAAUCCUGGUGGCGAGUGGCGAACGGGUGAGUAAUACAUCGGAACGUGCCCAAUCGUGGGGGAUAACGCAGCGAAAGCUGUGCUAAUACCGCAUAAGAUCUACGGAUGAAAGCAGGGGAUCGCAAGACCUUGCGCGAAUGGAGCGGCCGAUGGCAGAUUAGGUAGUUGGUGAGGUAAAGGCUCACCAAGCCUUCGAUCUGUAGCUGGUCUGAGAGGACGACCGAGACCGACGACGUAGGAACUGGACGACGACGGCCCAGGACUCCGUACGGGAGCAGCGAAGGUGGGGUAAUUUUACGGGACAAGUCGGGACGUCGAACGUCC